GACGAACGCUGGCGGCGUGCUUAACACAUGCAAGUCGAACGAAGAGCGAUGGAAGCUUGCUUCUAUCACUCUUAGUGGCGAACGGGUGAGUAACGCGUAAUCAACCUGCCCUUCAGAGGGGGACAACAGUUGGAAACGACUGCUAAUACCGCAUACGAUCUAAUCUCGGCAUCGAGGAAAGAUGAAAGGUGGCCUCUAUUUAUAAGCUAUCACUGAAGGAGGGGAUUGCGUCUGAUUAGCUAGUUGGAGGGGUAACGGCCCACCAAGGCGAUGAUCAGUAGCCGGUCUGCGAGGAUGAACGGCCACAUUGGGACUGAGACACGGCCCAGACUCCUACGGGAGGCAGCAGUGGGGAAUCUUCCGCAAUAGACGAAAGUCUGACGGAGCAACGCCGCGUGAGUGAUGACGGCCUUCGGGUUGUAAAGCUCUGUUAAUCGGGACGAAAGGCCUUCUUGCGAACAGUUAGAAGGAUUGACGGUACCGGAAUAGAGAGCCACGGCUAACUACGUG
rnacentral:rRNA from 1 species